rnacentral:rRNA from 1 species
AGUGAACGCUGGCGGUAGGCCUAACACAUGCAAGUCGAACGGCAGCACAGUAAGAGCUUGCUCUUACGGGUGGCGAGUGGCGGAUGGGUGAGGAAUACAUCGGAAUCUACUUUUUCGUGGGGGAUAACGUAGGGAAACUUACGCUAAUACCGCAUACGACCUACGGGUGAAAGCAGUGGAUCUUCGCACCUUGCGUGAUUGAAUGAGCCGAUGUCGGAUUAGCUAGUUGGCGGGGUAAAGGCCCACCAAGGCGACGAUCCGUAGCUGGUCUGAGAGGAUGAUCAGCCACACUGGAACUGAGACACGGUCCAGACUCCUACGGGAGGCAGCAGUAGGGAAUAUUGGACAAUGGGCGCAAGCCUGAUCCAGCCAUACCGCGUGAGUGAUGAAGGCCUUCGGAUUGUAAAGCCCUGUUGUUAGGGAAGAAAAGCUGCGGAAGAAAACCCCGCUGUUCUGACGGUACCCAAAGAGAAAGCACCGGCUAACUUCGUG